GGCAAGGAGUCCGGUUCAUCUAGCGGACAAGCCGGGGGAAGUUCACGAGGAAAAGACGCGCUCUAAAAGUUUUUCAGGUACUCAAGUGAAGGAUGAUGAUCAAGCAGUUGAUUUGGACCGAACACCUAACUUUACGCUUCCGCACUUGAACCUUGUUUUGUAAUUUUAUAAACUCUAGUAGUUUAUCUUGGAACAUUGUUGUAGUUUAAACAUGUAAAUGUUUUAUCAAAUGGGUUAGGAAUCUUGAAA